rnacentral:lncRNA from 1 species
UGGAGAAGUAGAAAAAUACAGCUUUACUGAUUAUUUACAUACUUGUGAGCUAGAAUCCCUUCAGGGAUUGCAUGAAACUCACACCAGACUUCUGGCCCAAAAAAGGAUGAACUGAAGCUUGAAGUGAUCAUAGGUCUUCCUCAAGAUGACACAGCCCAAACUUGGAAUAGACUAAGUCACAUACAGGUCUGCCCAGCUCUGCAGAAUCUGCUUCCAUUCUUCUUUGAUAUGUCUCACAGAAGUUUCCAACCGGGCUCAGAUGGAAAUCG